UGAUCCUGGCUCAGAUUGAACGCUGGCGGCAGGCCUAACACAUGCAAGUCGAACGGUAACAUUUCUAGCUUGCUAGAAGAUGACGAGUGGCGGACGAGUGAGUAAUGCUUGGGAACUUGCCUUUGCGAGGGGGAUAACAGUUGGAAACGACUGCUAAUACCGCAUAAUGUCUUCGGACCAAACGGGGCUUCGGCUCCGGCGCAAAGAGAGGCCCAAGUGAGAUUAGCUAGUUGGUAGGGUAACGGCUUACCAAGGCGACGAUCUCUAGCUGUUCUGAGAGGAAGAUCAGCCACACUGGGACUGAGACACGGCCCAGACUCCUACGGGAGGCAGCAGUGGGGAAUAUUGCACAAUGGGGGAAACCCUGAUGCAGCCAUGCCGCGUGUGUGAAGAAGGCCUUCGGGUUGUAAAGCACUUUCAGUUGUGAGGAAAAGUUAGUAGUUAAUACCUGCUAGCCGUGACGUUAACAACAGAAGAAGCACCGGCUAACUCCGUGCCAGCAGCCGCGGUAAUACGGAGGGUGCGAGCGUUAAUCGGAAUUACUGGGCGUAAAGCGCACGCAGGCGGUCUGUUAAGCUAGAUGUGAAAGCCCCGGGCUCAACCUGGGAUGGUCAUUUAGAACUGGCAGACUAGAGUCUUGGAGAGGGGAGUGGAAUUCCAGGUGUAGCGGUGAAAUGCGUAGAUAUCUGGAGGAACAUCAGUGGCGAAGGCGACUCCCUGGCCAAAGACUGACGCUCAUGUGCGAAAGUGUGGGUAGCGAACAGGAUUAGAUACCCUGGUAGU
rnacentral:rRNA from 1 species